CUUCCGCUUCAAUCUCUUCUGAUGUGGGGAUGGAGUUCUUCUUGGGGCGACCUUUGGGUUUUGUGGGUGCUUCCUGUCCACCUUUAAGAACCUACGGUGACAGUGAGAGUGACCAACAGAUAAUGUGUAUGAAAGGACCAGAACGGCACCUUCUGAAUGCUUCAUAGGGCAGCGAGGGCCACAUAACUGAUGACUGUUUCCAUGAAGCUGAGAAACAAGUUUGGAUUCCCCAGCAUGAAUCUCCUCCCAGACACUGCUGCUCACCUUAGCUAACUUUCUCAACCUGAAGAUGUGAUGUUCCACUGGACCUCAAGCAGGGCCCCCAAUGCCAAGGCGCUGACUUGGAGAUGACUGGGAAGUGGGGACUGAGAAAGGACAAACACUCAGGGCUGCGUGGAGACCCUGAGAUUCACAGAAUUCACUUUUGGCUUGUGUUUCCUGGCCUCCAAAUAUUUGGAUUCUCUGAAGACGUGGAUUUCGUGAAGAGGUAAUAAAAAUACUAAUAAUGAUAAUAAUAAUGGCAAAAACAUCUCUUAGCUGUGUCCUAUAUGGCAGGUCCUAUUUACGUGUUUCACAGAGAUUAGCUCAUUAAUAAUACAACCCUACGAGGUACGUGUUAGGCCUUUUACGGCAGAGGAAACAGGCACACAGAGGUUAAGUAACCUGCCCAAGAUUACACAGAGAGCGACUGGUAACAAUUCAUGGAGUUGUUAACUACCUGGGGACUAUUCACGAGAAACAUAGUGACCAUGCAUAGUGUGGGGCCCACCCAAUUCUGUGACUAGGAGAGAAAGGAGGUAUCUGUUUGGGUGCUCUCAUGGAACAGAAUUGCAUUUUAGAGCUCAAAGAGACCACCGAAUAAUGAGGCUCUUUCAGCCUAUUGCAAAACACUGUAGGUCCUGCUGGAACUAAAGCCAACAGACAUGGAAUAGAGGGUGCACAUCCCAUCUUAAUGUGCGAGAUUAAAUUGACCCAGCCCGCUACAGGUUACCAGUGCUGACUGGUCAGAACUCGUCAGAGAUGCUAUCUUGGUUCUGGCAAGGUUACCCUUGGCAGCCAUGUGAAUAAGUCUGACAAUCAACUGCUAAUCUUUUUCCAGUUCCAAUUAGGUUACUAGCCUUGAGACAUCUUUAUUACCCAAUUAUCUUUUUCUUUUCCUCCCCAGUACCUAAAGAGAUAGCCUUGAAAGAGUUUUACUGGGAAACUAGGUGAAGUAAUCAGGAUCACACCACAGCCUUGCUAUUCCACUCUCUGCGCUGAUCCUGUACAUCUCCCUGCCGCUGCACUGACCGCUCCGUGUAAUAAUAAUGCCAGUUUGCAGGUCUGUCUCCCGCACUUGACCGAGUACCUUUUGACAAUUUUAUUUUCUAGUGGACAGGCUCAUGUCUUACCUUUGCAUCUCCAGGGCCUGAUAAAUGUUAAAUGCUCAAUGAAUUAACUCAAAAGUGAACUGACAGUUUGGGCCUCUUGGCUCCUAAAGGGACCUGAAGGUGACUGGCUUGCAGAAUGUUCUCUGAGGUUAAAUCUGCUAAGUUACUUCCAUUUUGGUUUACAUGACAUUGAUACCCAUCAAUAACUGGCCUAAAAUCAUGCCAGCAACACUGUUGCUGGUGAAAAACAAGUGACGUCACAGGCGAAGGCACACACAUUGUCCCACGGGCACUGGGCGGUGCUGGCAGAGGAGGCUGCCUGUCAAUUCCUUAAUCAUCUGACUCAUGAAAAGAUUGCUGAUAACCAAUUUAAACAAUGCCUCUGCUACUCAGGAGACAUUGAUUUCAAGGCUGAUGAUUGACGAGGAAGAAGGUGGGUGGUGGAUCUUGCACAGAAAGCAGUGAAGGGACUUGCCCAAAAUCAACCAGGGAAGGGCAAGCAUGGGAACACGGCCUGGUGCUUCUCACUCCCAAGUCUAGUUCUUUAGAAACCAGUCCCCUAAAAGGUGUCCAUGUGUACUUAGCACUGUAGAGUGUUUGCAAGACUAUCUAUUUAACCAAAUCCAUUCUUCCUUCAAUUUCUUGUUUUUAUUUUAUU